rnacentral:tRNA from 1 species
AGCCCUGCAGUGUACGGCAUACCAGAUUGCAAAUCUGAAGGAGCAAGUGAGAGCUUGCCGGGGCUU